AACGAACGCUGGCGGCGUGGAUAAGACAUGCAAGUCGAACGGGACCAGGUUGGUAGUAAUACUAACUUGGUUCAGUGGCGCACGGGUGCGUAACACGUGAGCAAUCCGCCGGGAAGUGGGGGAUAGCUCGCCGAAAGGCGAAUUAAUACCGCAUGUGGCCAUUCUUCGAGUGGAGGAAAAGCCAAAGCAGCAAUGCGCUUCCUGAUGAGCUCGCGGCCUAUCAGCUAGAUGGCGGGGUAAUGGCCCACCAUGGCCUUGACGGGUAGCUGGUCUGAGAGGACGACCAGCCACACUGGAACUGAGAUACGGUCCAGACACCUACGGGUGGCAGCAGUCGAGAAUUUUUCACAAUGGGGGCAACCCUGAUGGAGCGACGCCGCGUGGAGGAUGAAGGCCUUCGGGUUGUAAACUCCUGUCAUGCGGGAACAAGCAAGUGAUAGUACCGCAAGAGGAAGAGACGGCUAACUCUGUGCCAGCAGCCGCGGUAAUACAGAGGUCUCAAGCGUUGUUCGGAUUCAUUGGGCGUAAAGGGUGCGUAGGUGGUGGCGCAAGUCUGGUGUGAAAUCUCGGAGCUCAACUCCGAAAUUGCACCGGAUACUGCGUGACUCGAGGACUGUAGAGGAGAUCGGAAUUCACGGUGUAGCAGUGAAAUGCGUAGAUAUCGUGAGGAAGACCAGUUGCGAAGGCGGAUCUCUGGGCAGUUCCUGACACUGAGGCACGAAGGCCAGGGGAGCAAACGGGAUUAGAUACCCCGGUAGUCCUGGCAGUAAACGGUGCACGUUUGGUGUGGGCGGGUUCAGACCCCGUCCGUGCCGGAGCUAACGCGUUAAACGUGCCGCCUGGGAAGUACGGUCGCAAGAUUAAAACUCAAAGAAAUUGGCGGGGGCCCGCACAAGCGGUGGAGUAUGUGGCUUAAUUCGAUGCAACGCGAAGAACCUUACCUGGCCUUGACAUGCAUUGUGUCCCCGGUGAAAGCCGGGUAUCCUGCAGCAAUGUAGGAGCCUUGCACAGGUGCUGCAUGGCUGUCGUCAGCU
rnacentral:rRNA from 1 species